rnacentral:tRNA from 1 species
GCGCCCAGCUCAGUUGGUUAGAGUACCACCUGACAUGGUGGGGUCGAUGGCUCGGAGUCCAUUCAGACGCACCA